rnacentral:misc_RNA from 1 species
CUGAGGAGGAGCGUGAAAAUAUUAAAAUGACAAUUCAGAGCAAUGUGUAUGGUUAUCUUGGUAUACUUCUCGAGGGGCGUGACCGUUUUGAAGAAGAAUGUUUGGCCGAAAUGAAGAAAGGGCAAUCUUCUGAUGAAGCUGACCCCAUUGGGAGUAGCAAUGGCAUCAAUUGCAAAACUAUCUAUUCUAUCGGUCCAAGGCUUAAAGCAUUCUCAGAUUGGCUUCUGAAGAUUAUGGUGGCAGGAAAUUUGGAAGUGAUUUUUCCAGCAGCCACUCGGGAAUAUGCACCAUUGGUAGAAGAGUUGUGGAAGGACCCUGCCAUUCAGGCCACAUACAACCGGAGAAAUGAAUUGGAAAUGUUGCCUAGUGUUGCUAGUUAUUUCUUAGAAAGGGCUGUUGACGUAUUGAGAACAGACUAUGAACCCUCAGAUUUGGAUAUCCUGUAUGCUGAGGGCGUUACUUCAUCAAAUGGGCUUGCUUGUUUGGACUUCUCAUUUCCCCCAUCAGCAUUUGAUGAUAAAUUUGACACUGAUGAUCCCCACGGCUCUCUUCUCAGAUACCAACUGAUUAGUG